UACGUAGGUGGCAAGCGUUGUCCGGAUUUACUGGGCGUAAAGAGCGCGCAGGCGGUCGUUCAAGUCGCGUGUGAAAGCCCCCGGCUCAACUGGGGAGGGUCACGCGAUACUGAUCGACUCGAAGGCAGGAGAGGGUAGUGGAAUUCCCGGUGUAGUGGUGAAAUGCGUAGAUAUCGAGAGGAACACCUGCGGCGAAGGCGGGUUGCUGGGCUGACACUGACGCUGAAGCGCGAAAGCUAGGGGAGCGAACGGG
rnacentral:rRNA from 1 species